CUAAAGGCGAAGAUGAGAAGGAGUAUAUAUUUCUUCUGAUUACAGAGAGAAGGCGGUUGGUGAAAGCCUUUACAGAGAAGUAUAGAAGCAGUCUCUAAGCCUCCUGCUGAAAAAUAAGUUAACCUACAAAUUGUUAACUUAAUUAGGCAGUGACGGUAAUUCCGUUAUUUUAAUGAGGUGGAUUAUGUUUAACAUAAUCUAUUAGGGUGGUAACGCGGAAGUUGGCCUUUCGUCCCUUUG
rnacentral:ncRNA from 1 species